GAUGAACGCUGGCGGCGUGCUUAAUACAUGCAAGUCGAGCGAGGACCACCUGGUGGCAACACCGGGUGACUCCUAGCGGCGAACGGGUGAGUAACACGUGGGCAACCUGCCCCCGACUCUGGGAUAAGCCCGGGAAACUGGGUCUAAUACCGGAUACGAGCCUCCUCCGCAUGGUGGAGGUUGGAAAGGGUCUCCGGUCGGGGAUGGGCCCGCGGCCUAUCAGCUUGUUGGUGGGGUAACGGCCCACCAAGGCGACGACGGGUAGCCGGCCUGAGAGGGUGAACGGCCACACUGGGACUGAGACACGGCCCAGACUCCUGCGGGAGGCAGCAGUAGGGAAUCUUGCGCAAUGGGCGAAAGCCUGACGCAGCGACGCCGCGUGCGGGACGAAGGCCCUCGGGUUGUAAACCGCUUUCAGCAGGGACGAAGCGAAAGUGACGGUACCUGCAGAAGAAGGUCCGGCCAACUACGUGCCAGCCGCCGCGGUAACAC
rnacentral:rRNA from 1 species